rnacentral:rRNA from 1 species
UACGUAGGGUGCAAGCGUUAAUCGGAAUUACUGGGCGUAAAGCGUGCGCAGGCGGCUUGCAAGACAGGUGUGAAAUCCCGGCUUACCUGGAACUGCAUUGUGACUGCAUGGCUGGAGUGCGGCAGAGGGGGAUGGAAUUCCGCGUGUAGCAGUGAAAUGCGUAGAUAUGCGGAGGAACACCGAUGGCGAAGGCAGCCCCUGGUCAAGAUGACGCUCGAUGCACGAAGCGUGGGAGCAAACAGG